ACUCCGGGAAACCGGGGCUAAUACCGGAUGGUUGUUUGAACCGCAGGUUCAGACAUAAAAGGUGGCUUCGGCUACCACUUACAGAUGGACCCGCGGCGCAUAGCUAGUUGGUGAGGUAACGGCUCACCAAGGCAACGAUGCGUAGCCGACCUGAGAGGGUGAUCGGCCACACUGGGACUGAGACACGGCCCAGACUCCUACGGGAGGCAGCAGUAGGGAAUCUUCCGCAAUGGACGAAAGUCUGACGGAGCAACGCCGCGUGAGUGAUGAAGGUUUUCGGAUCGUAAAGCUCUGUUGUUAGGGAAGAACAAGUGCCGUUCAAAUAGGGCGGCACCUUGACGGUACCUAACCAGAAAGCCACGGCUAACUACGUGCCAGCAGCCGCGGUAAUACGUAGGUGGCAAGCGUUGUCCGGAAUUAUUGGGCGUAAAGGGCUCGCAGGCGGUUUCUUAAGUCUGAUGUGAAAGCCCCCGGCUCAACCGGGGAGGGUCAUUGGAAACUGGGGAACUUGAGUGCAGAAGAGGAGAGUGGAAUUCCACGUGUAGCGGUGAAAUGCGUAGAGAUGUGGAGGAACACCAGUGGCGAAGGCGACUCUCUGGUCUGUAACUGACGCUGAGGAGCGAAAGCGUGGGGAGCGAACAGGAUUAGAUACCCUGGUAGUCCACGCCGUAAACGAUGAGUGCUAAGUGUUAGGGGGUUUCCGCCCCUUAGUGCUGCAGCUAACGCAUUAAGCACUCCGCCUGGGGAGUACGGUCGCAAGACUGAAACUCAAAGGAAUUGACGGGGGCCCGCACAAGCGGUGGAGCAUGUGGUUUAAUUCGAAGCAACGCGAAGAACCUUACCAGGUCUUGACAUCCUCUGACAAUCCUAGAGAUAGGACGUCCCCUUCGGGGGCAGAGUGACAGGUGGUGCAUGGUUGUCGUCAGCUCGUGUCGUGAGAUGUUGGGUUAAGUCCCGCAACGAGCGCAACCCUUGAUCUUAGUUGCCAGCAUUCAGUUGGGCACUCUAAGGUGACUGCCGGUGACAAACCGGAGGAAGGUGGGGAUGACGUCAAAUCAUCAUGCCCCUUAUGACCUGGGCUACACACGUGCUACAAUGGACAGAACAAAGGGCAGCGAAACCGCGAGGUUAAGCCAAUCCCACAAAUCUGUUCUCAGUUCGGAUCGCAGUCUGCAACUCGACUGCGUGAAGCUGGAAUCGCUAGUAAUCGC
rnacentral:rRNA from 1 species